UACGUAGGGUGCGAGCGUUAAUCGGAAUUACUGGGCGUAAAGCGUGCGCAGGCGGUUCGCCAAGUCAGGUGUGAAAUCCCCGGGCUUAACCUGGGAAUUGCGCUUGAAACUAGCGGGCUUGAGUGCGGCAGAGGGGGGUGGAAUUCCUGGUGUAGCGGUGAAAUGCGCAGAUAUCAGGAGGAACACCGAUGGCGAAGGCAGCUCGCUGGGACGGUACUGACGCUGAGGCGCGAAAGCGUGGGGAGCAAACAGG
rnacentral:rRNA from 1 species